rnacentral:lncRNA from 1 species
AGGUGUGGUGGCGGGCGCCUAUAGUCCCCAGCUACUUGGGAGGCUGAGGCAGGAGAAUCUCUUGAAGCCAGGAGGCGGAGGUUGCUGUGAGCCAAGAUCGCGCCACUGCACUCCAGCCUGGGUGUUGCAGUGAGACUCCGUCUCAAAACAAACAAAAUAAACUAAAACAAACAAAACAAAAAACAAAACGCCAUCAACAUCUCGAAAAACAAAACCCAAAAAGUAGGGAAAUUUUGAUUUUUAAAGAGACUAGAAGGACGUGGUGGCCUGGCAUGGUGGCUCACACCUGUGAUCCCAGCACUUUGGGAGGCCAAGGCGGGAGAAUCACUUGAGCCCACGAGUUUGAGACCAGCCUGGGCAACAAAGUGAGACUCCAUCUCUACAAAAAAUUUUAAAAUUAGCUGGGCAUGGUGGCAUGUACCUGUGGUCCCAGCUACUUGGGAGGCUGAGGCAGGAGGAUUGAUUGAGCCCAGUUGGUUGAGGCUGCAGUGAGCCGUGAUCACACCAUUCUUUGCACUUCAGCCUGGGCAGCAGAGUGACACCCUGUCUAAAAAAGAAAAGAAAAAACAAAACAAAACAAAACCAGACAGACAUGGUAACUGAAAGCAGUGACUGAUCCUUAAUGGGACCCUGGAUGGAUAAAAGGGAGAAGGUAUAAGGGACAAGGUUGUGAGGGCACCUGGCGUAUGGGCUGUGCUUUAGGCCAUAUUCAUAUAAAAGGAGGUGCUCCCUGGAACAUUCCUUUCUUAAGUUUGAGGGUGGUGAUGGUAUUGUGGUUGUGCAGGAACGUCCUCGUGCCUGGGAAUUGCAUGAUGUGUUUUGGGGUGAAGUAUCAGUGUAUGCCACUGACUCUCAGAUGGCUCGCGGGGAAAACGAUGUGUAUGUAUCCGAGAGGGAUAAUGCUCAUAUGGGUGAAAUAUCAGUAAUCGGUGACUCUGGCCGCGAGAUAUGUGUUCAUUAUUAUACUGUCCCUUCAAUGGAGGUGGCGUCUUCUCCACUGCUGUGCCAGGAGGGCUGGGCGUGGGGGUCCAGAUUCUGUACAUCAGACACCCCUACCCCAUCUUGUGCUUAAUAGAGUGCAGGAUCCCUCCUGAGACCCUAAUCUAACCCUCAAGUCCCUUCCCCUGCCACAGCAGAAGCAGGAAGGCUAAGGGUCCAUCCCCAAUCCCCAUGGCCCAUCCGGGAGAGCCGGCUGCUAGCUGCACCCCUGAACGUCUGCUUCAAUGCCUGAUGCAACUGGAAACCUCUUCACUUACCCUUCAAGUCACCCCCAGCUGGGUCUCAGGGUAGGGGUAGGUCUGGGAAGGUGCCAGCCCUGGAGUUAAUCCAAGCCACCUGUGGUCACCAGAUGCUCUGUCACCACUAACAGGUGUGUUGGGAUCCGGGGUCAAGGGCUGCUCCAAGCACAGGGGUCUGGCCACAGUUCGGAUGGGCUCCCAGGGGGCUCGCUGGGGUGGGCGAGGUAGCCUGAACAAAGCUGCUGGGAAGGCAGGGUCCGUGCAUCCCCUGGGCCUGAGAUCACGAGCUUCUUGGCUGGCUUGGGCCAAGGGAGGAGACCAGGAGUCUGUGGCUCCAGAGCCUGGCCAGAGAACUUUCUAAAAGGCAUGUUCCGGCCGGGUGCGGUGGCUCACGCCUGUAAUCCCAGCACUUUGGGAGGCCAAUGGGGGCUGAUCCUGAGGUCAGGAGUUCAAGACCAGCCUGGCCAACGUGGUGAAACCCCCAUCUCUACUAAAAAUACAAAAAUUAGCCGGGCAUAAUGGCAGCCUCGGGAGGCUGAGGCAGGAGAAUUGCUAGAACCCAGGAGGCGUAGGUUGCAGUGAGCCAAGAUCGCGCCACUGCACUCCAGUCUGGGUGACAGAGCAAGACUGUCUCAAAAAAAAAAAAAAAAAAAAAAAAGGAAAAGGUAUGUUCCUACCACUGGGGCUUGGCACCUCCUGCUUCUGCCAGGACUGCGUGCCGCUCCCUCCCUGAAAGCUGGCUACCCACUCAUCCUUCUGGUCUCUACCAGAACACUCCUGCCCAGGCUGGGUUUGGUGGUCGCGCUGCGGGGUCCUGCAGCCUCAUUCUGCUGCGUCUUGUUUUUUACCACCUGUCAUUGACUUGACCUUAUCUGUCACGUUCAAUAUCUGUCUCCCUCACCAGAGCGAGCUCUGCCCCAGCACUGGGCCUGUAGAGGAGGUGCUCUGGAGAUGCACUCAGGGCUCGCACCUGACAGAGUGGAAGCAGCUGCCAGGCAGGGGGAUACCGAGUACCCCACCCUGGAGAAUGUGCAGACUGUGGAUCUGUGGGGGGUGUAAACUGUCCUCUAGGGUCGUCUUUAUCAGCCUAUCCUGGCUCCUGUGAUAGCAUCUAUCUUUCAAGGGUUUAUUUCAAACAGGAAGCUGGUAAGUGCUGCACACUGAUUUUCGGGAGAGGGGACGGUCAGCUCCAUCUUCCCGCCCCAGAUCACAGAGCUGGCAUGUGACAGCUGGCAUCCCGGCUGGCACUCCCAUCAGGCUGUCUCCACAGAGCUGCCUUUUGGGAGGGGUCUGGUUCAGUUUCCUGGGCCCACUCUGCUCAUCCCCCUGCAAUAAUGCCACAAGCCCUUGGUACACGUUACCUCAUUUAUUCUCACAACAUGCCUGUGAGGUAGGGAGGGGCAGGGACUGUCCCCGUUUUACAGAGGAGGAAGUUGAGGCACACAGAGGCUGGGCAGAUGGGCCCUUAGGAGUGCGGGG